CCCCGAGCUGCGACCCCCCGACUCCGUUUCCGCUGCCGUCGCCCACCUCCCCAACCUGCAUCUUCCAAAGCACCAAAACAAAAAAGAGUUACAUGAGUAGAACUGAACAGAAGAUCUCGUCGCCAUGAGAGGUUGAGGACAGAAGCAGAUGCAAAGAAUUUGGAAAGCAAAUAGACAGUUUUGCAGAUUGCCAAAUAUAAUCACCAAGAUAGCAAAGAGGACGAGCGAAGAGGAAAAAUUGCACACAAGGUAGGAAAGACUGAAGUCAGCCCCACGUCUUCUGUGCAGAUUAGCUCGUCACCCAGGUCAUCUGUUGUGACCUCUAGUGCUGGGACCCUGAUUGGAAUAUCACUGCUGGCCUGUGGCUGGGAGGCCGAUGAUCCUCCCCUCCCCGGUGCAAACUUCUCACUGUAGCGCCAUGUCGACAUGUCCAAGCGUCUUCCUCAGCGCAAGUAAAGAAAGAAGAAGACCGAGAAGCUGGAGCAAGAUCCUUUCAUUUUCAUCAUGUAUGUAAAUAGCUCGGUCUAUUGGAGGCGAGGGGCGACACGCUUGCGACUCUGCAUGCUGGGUCACCAAACUCCGUUGCUGACCGGCUAUGCUUGGGAGUUCAGAAGCGUGAACCGGAAAGCUGUCCCCGGCGUAUGAGUUAUGUUGCUGCUUCAGUCCUUGUGGCAUGUAUUUUUGUAAUGCUCCAUAAGACCUGGAGUUUUAAGUGCUAGGUUUGUCUUUGUUGUUGAUUCGAAUCUGGACUUGUGAUCUGGUUUUGGAUGUGAGUAUAAGCUGCUGUGAUUAUUUGAUCUGUGACCCGAAUUUCCCAAAGAGCAAAAAUGGUAUGGCAAAA